UGCAGAAUCCCGUGAACCAUCGAGUCUUUGAACGCAAGUUGCGCCCGAGGCCACUAGGCUGAGGGCACGCCUGCCUGGGCGUCACGCC
rnacentral:rRNA from 1 species